GGCCGUCUAGCUCAGUUGGUUAGAGCGUCGUGCUAAUACUGUUAUGUAACGCGAAGGUCUUGGGUUCGACCCCCACGAUGGCCA